GACGAACGCUGGCGGCGUGCUUAACACAUGCCAGUCGAACGAAGAGCGGUGGAAGCUUGCUUCUAUCAAUCUUAGUGGCGAACGGGUGAGUAACGCGUAAUCAACCUGCCCUUCAGAGGGGGACAACAGUUGGAAACGACUGCUAAUACCGCAUACGAUCUAAUCUCGGCAUCGAGGAUAGAUGAAAGGUGGCCUCUACAUGUAAGCUAUCACUGAAGGAGGGGAUUGCGUCUGAUUAGCUAGUUGGAGGGGUAACGGCCCACCAAGGCGAUGAUCAGUAGCCGGUCUGAGAGGAUGAACGGCCACAUUGGGACUGAGACACGGCCCAGACUCCUACGGGAGGCAGCAGUGGGGAAUCUUCCGCAAUGGACGAAAGUCUGACGGAGCAACGCCGCGUGAGUGAUGACGGCCUUCGGGUUGUAAAGCUCUGUUAAUCGGGACGAAAGGCCUUCUUGCGAAUAGUGAGAAGGAUUGACGGUACCGGAAUAGAAAGCCACGGCUAACUACGUG
rnacentral:rRNA from 1 species